rnacentral:rRNA from 1 species
GACGAACGCUGGCGGCGUGCUUAACACAUGCAAGUCGAACAGAAAGGCCCUGCUUUUGUGGGGUGCUCGAGUGGCGAACGGGUGAGUAACACGUGAGUAACCUGCCCUUGACUUUGGGAUAACUUCAGGAAACUGGGGCUAAUACCGGAUAGGAGCUCCUGCUGCAUGGUGGGGGUUGGAAAGUUUCGGCGGUUGGGGAUGGACUCGCGGCUUAUCAGCUUGUUGGUGGGGUAGUGGCUUACCAAGGCUUUGACGGGUAGCCGGCCUGAGAGGGUGACCGGCCACAUUGGGACUGAGAUACGGCCCAGACUCCUACGGGAGGCAGCAGUGGGGAAUAUUGAACAAUGGGCGGAAGCCUGAUGCAGCAACGCCGCGUGCGGGAUGACGGCCUUCGGGUUGUAAACCGCUUUCGCCUGUGACGAAGCGUGAGUGACGGUAAUGGGUAAAGAAGCACCGGCUAACUACGUG